UACGGGGGGAGCAAGCGUUGUUCGGAUUUAUUGGGCGUAAAGGGCGCGUAGGCGGCCAGCACAAGUCAGUUGUGAAAUCUCCGAGCUUAACUCGGAAAGGUCAACUGAUACUGUGCGGCUAGAGUGCGGAAGGGGCAACUGGAAUUCUUGGUGUAGCGGUGAAAUGCGUAGAUAUCGGGAGGAACACCAAUUGCGAAGGCAGCUCGCUGGGACGUUACUGACGCUGAGACGCGAAAGCGUGGGGAGCAAACAGG
rnacentral:rRNA from 1 species